UGCAAGUCGAGCGGCAGCGCGGGAGCAAUCCUGGCGGCGAGCGGCGAACGGGUGAGUAAUGCUUCGGAAUCUGCCCGGUAGUGGGGAACAACCAGUCGAAAGACUGGCUAAUACCGCAUACGACCUAAGGGUGAAAGCAGGGGACCGCAAGGCCUUGCGCUAUCGGAUGAGCCGAAGUCGGAUUAGCUAGUUGGCGGGGUAACGGCCCACCAAGGCGACGAUCCGUAGCUGGUCUGAGAGGACGACCAGCCACACUGGGACUGAGACACGGCCCAGACUCCUACGGGAGGCAGCAGUGGGGAAUAUUGGACAAUGGGGGCAACCCUGAUCCAGCGACGCCGCGUGUGUGAAGAAGGCCUGCGGGUUGUAAAGCACUUUUAGUGGGGAGGAAAACACCUGUCCUAAUACGGCAGGGAUUGACUUAACCCAAAGAAAAAGCACCGGCUAACUCUGUGCCAGCAGCCGCGGUAAUACAGAGGGUGCAAGCGUUAAUCGGAAUUACUGGGCGUAAAGCGUGCGUAGACGGUUGUUUAAGUCGGAUGUGAAAUCCCCGGGCUCAACCUGGGAAUUGCAUUCGAGACUGAUCAGCUAGGGUGCGGAAGAGGGAAGCGGAAUUUCCGGUGUAGCGGUGAAAUGCGUAGAUAUCGGAAGGAACAUCAGUGGCGAAAGCGGCUUCCUGGUCCAGCACCGACGUUCACGC
rnacentral:rRNA from 1 species